UUGGUUAAGUUAGAAAGGGCGCACGGUGGAUGCCUUGGCACUAGGAGCCGAAGAAGGACGGGACUAACACCGAUAUGCUUUGGGGAGCUGUACGUAAGCGUUGAUCCAGAGAUUUCCGAAUGGGGGAACCCACUAUCUUUAGUCGGAUAGUAUCCUUACGUGAAUACAUAGCGUGAGGAAGGCAGACCCAGGGAACUGAAACAUCUAAGUACCUGGAGGAAGAGAAAGAAAAAUCGAUUUCCUGAGUAGCGGCGAGCGAAACGGAAAGAGCCCAAACCAAGAAGCUUGCUUCUUGGGGUUGUAGGACACUCUAUACGGAGUUACAAAAGAAAGUUAUAAAUGAAGCGGUCUGGAAAGGCCCGCCAAAGACGGUAACAGCCCGGUAGUUGAAAUGGCUUUCCCUCCAGAGUGGAUCCUGAGUACGGCGGAACACGUGAAAUUCCGUCGGAAUCCGGGAGGACCAUCUCCCAAGGCUAAAUACUCCCUAGUGACCGAUAGUGAACCAGUACCGUGAGGGAAAGGUGAAAAGCACCCCGGAAGGGGAGUGAAACAGUUCCUGAAACCGUGUGCCUACAAGUAGUUAGAGCCCGUUAAUGGGUGAUAGCGUGCCUUUUGUAGAAUGAACCGGCGAGUUACGAUUUGUUGCAAGGUUAAGCGGAAAAAGCGGAGCCGUAGCGAAAGCGAGUCUGAAUAGGGCGCAUAAGUAACAGGUCGUAGACCCGAAACCAGGUGAUCUACCCAUGUCCAGGAUGAAGGUAAGGUAAUACUUACUGGAGGUCCGAACCCACGCACGUUGAAAAGUGCGGGGAUGAGGUGUGGGUAGCGGAGAAAUUCCAAUCGAACUUGGAGAUAGCUGGUUCUCUCCGAAAUAGCUUUAGGGCUAGCCUCGAGGUAAAGAGUCAUGGAGGUAGAGCACUGUUUGGACUAGGGGCCCUUCUCGGGUUACCGAAUUCAGAUAAACUCCGAAUGCCAUGUACUUAUACUCGGGAGUCAGACUGCGAGUGAUAAGAUCCGUAGUCGAAAGGGAAACAGCCCAGACCACCAGUUAAGGUCCCCAAAUAUAUGUUAAGUGGAAAAGGAUGUGGGGUUGCUUAGACAACCAGGAUGUUGGCUUAGAAGCAGCCACCAUUGAAAGAGUGCGUAAUAGCUCACUGGUCGAGUGACCCCGCGCCGAAAAUGUACCGGGGCUAAACAUAUUACCGAAACUGUGGAUGAACCUCUUUAGAGGUUCGUGGUAGGAGAGCGUUCUAAGGGCGGUGAAGUCAGACCGGAAGGACUGGUGGAGCGCUUAGAAGUGAGAAUGCCGGUAUGAGUAGCGAAAGAAGGGUGAGAAUCCCUUCCACCGAAUAUCUAAGGUUUCCUGAGGAAGGCUCGUCCGCUCAGGGUUAGUCGGGACCUAAGCCGAGGCCGAUAGGCGUAGGCGAUGGACAACAGGUAGAGAUUCCUGUACCAGUGCUAAUUGUUUAACCGAUGGGGUGACACAGAAGGAUAGGGAAUCGCACGAAUGGAAAUGUGCGUCCAAGCAGUGAGUGUGAGAAGUAGGCAAAUCCGCUUCUCGCGAAGCAUGAGCUGUGAUGGGGAAGGAAAUUAAGUACGGAAGUUCCUGAUUUCACGCUGUCAAGAAAAGCCUCUAGGAAGAGUAGUACUGCCCGUACCGCAAACCGACACAGGUAGAUGAGGAGAGAAUCCUAAGGUGAGCGAGAGAACUCUCGUUAAGGAACUCGGCAAAAUGACCCCGUAACUUCGGGAGAAGGGGUGCUCUAUUAGGGUGCAAGCCCGAGAGAGCCGCAGUGAAUAGGCCCAGGCGACUGUUUAGCAAAAACACAGGUCUCUGCAAAACCGUAAGGUGACGUAUAGGGGCUGACGCCUGCCCGGUGCUGGAAGGUUAAGAGGAGUGCUUAGCUUCGGCGAAGGUACGAAUUGAAGCCCCAGUAAACGGCGGCCGUAACUAUAACGGUCCUAAGGUAGCGAAAUUCCUUGUCGGGUAAGUUCCGACCCGCACGAAAGGCG
rnacentral:rRNA from 1 species